GAUACUACUUGACAAUUACAAGUUGCUCCCACUUGUUCUAACACAAACAUCUGAGUCAUCCUAAUAGGGUAGCUGAGAAGCUGAUGGCCAUCUUGCCUCUGUGAGGAGAGAAACUGCCUGAGGAGAACCCAGACAGGAAAGCAGAGCUGAGAGAGGGAGAGGGUGAGACUGUCUUCAGGACACUGUCUGGGUUCUGAAUCCAGCCACCCAUGAAAGCAAAUACCUUGAGUUUUUUAGCCAUGUGAGCCAAGAGAUUCCUUUCCUCAGGUCCUGCUGCUCAGCGUUCAUGGAAUGAUUAGAUCCAGAUUGUCCUGCUUUCAAACCUGCCGAUUUUUAUUCCUUGGUGAUGUCAGAUUCCAGACCAGCAGGACUUUCUGAGCAACUACUGGAGGAUUUCUUUGCAAGCACUAAUGGGCCAUUACUUCUAUAAAACGAUGGUCAGCGUCCAUGGUAGCUGGAGGAGUCCUCAGUGUUGAUCAGAACUACUCUGACCCCCUCACCUUCCAGGCACACGGGAGGAUUCAUCUUCCUGGCCCCCAUCUCACUGAGGUCUCGACAAGUGACUUGUUUUUACCAAUGAAAUGGGAGUGAAAAGAACUUGUUACUUCCGGGCAGAAUCUCUGAGAGUUGGGUAAUCCCACUUCCCCGCCCAUGGAAACAAGAGUCGAGGGGCAGCCUCUGUCCGCCUGCCCCCCCCCCACCCCGCGCCCGGCACCAGGACCCUGCCAACGUCCGGGGGGCCCAGAGUGUCGGGAGGUGAUAUCACUUGGGCGGCCUCAAGCUGCGAGGCUUGGGAAGAUACUUGCUCCAGCAGGCCCGGGGAUGUCCUGACGAGCAAGGCAGAGGCCGACUUCUCGCCUUUUCUUUUUUUCUUCCUUUUGACAUUUAACUGCCCCCAGGAAAUACAACCCCUUGGACAUUCUGACGCUCUGAUAGCUGGAGCGUGGGCGGUAUCCUGUGCGACAAGGACGACGGUUCUCAGGUCAGGGGCCACAAUACGGGCCCCCCUGUGCCGACCCAACCGGAGGCACACCUGUUUUUUUAAUCUGUGCGAUGAGGAAAUGAAUGCGUGGCCUGCACUUCUGCACAGGAUUUCAGCGGGAGGAAACGGUUUCGUGGCUGAAAAAGAGAAAGUUGAACGUUACCUGGCAGAGACUCCGCUAGGCCCGGGGAUGUCGUGAGGAACAAGGCAGAGGCAGACUUCUCGCGUAUUUACGUAUUGUCUAUGGUUUUCUGUUUCGUAGGGCGUGGGAAAGACCAGGGGCCUGUCACAAGAAAAGUGAACAAACAGGUAAAUAAAAUAAUUAAAACAUGGACAAGCAGUCCACCGGGAUUCCACGGGGGCUGAGGUAGAGCAUGACGAGGGGAGGCCUACUUGAGGUAGGGUGGCUGACAAGACCUUUUCUCAGGAGGUCACAUUGAAGUGACAAGCCGCAGGAUGCCAUGCAGCCGACGGGAAAGGAGUGGGGAGACGGCGUCCCAGGGAGCCCCGCCGGGGAGGACCAUCAGGAGGAAAGGCGUGCGGCCUGCUCUAGAGGCGGAGGCCUGCACUGCCCAAGCACAGGCGGGA